CAGCAUCCACGGUAAUACGAAGGGUGCAAGCGUUAAUCGGAAUUACUGGGCGUAAAGCGUGCGUAGGCGGUGAGUUAAGUCUGCUGUGAAAUCCCCGGGCUCAACCUGGGAAUGGCAGUGGAUACUGGCUCGCUAGAGUGUGUCAGAGGAUGGUGGAAUUCCCGGUGUAGCGGUGAAAUGCGUAGAGAUCGGGAGGAACAUCAGUGGCGAAGGCGGCCAUCUGGGACAACACUGACGCUGAGGCACGAAAGCGUGGGGAGCAAACAGGAUUAGAUACCCGCGUAGUCCCUGUCUCUUAUAC
rnacentral:rRNA from 1 species